rnacentral:rRNA from 1 species
UACGGAAGGGGCAAGCGUUGUUCGGAAUCAUUGGGCGUAAAGGGCGCGUAGGUGGUCCUGUAUGUCUACCGUGAAAGCAUACAGCUCAACUGUAUUUUGUCGGUAGAAACUGCAGGACUGAGGCUGGGAGGGGCUGGUGGAAUUCCCUGUGUAGCGGUGAAAUGCGUAGAGAUGGGGGAGAACACUCGUGGCGGAAGGCGGCUCUCUGGGACGGUACCGACGCUGAGACGCGAAAGCGUGGGGAGCGAACAGG